rnacentral:rRNA from 1 species
UGGGGAAUUUUGGACAAUGGGGGCAACCCUGAUCCAGCAAUGCCGCGUGUGUGAAGAAGGCCUUCGGGUUGUAAAGCACUUUUGUCCGGAAAGAAAACGCCGUGGUUAAUACCCGUGGCGGAUGACGGUACCGGAAGAAUAAGCACCGGCUAACUACGUGCCAGCAGCCGCGGUAAUACGUAGGGUGCAAGCGUUAAUCGGAAUUACUGGGCGUAAAGCGUGCGCAGGCGGUCCGCUAAGACAGAUGUGAAAUCCCCGGGCUUAACCUGGGAACUGCAUUUGUGACUGGCGGGCUAGAGUAUGGCAGAGGGGGGUAGAAUUCCACGUGUAGCAGUGAAAUGCGUAGAGAUGUGGAGGAAUACCGAUGGCGAAGGCAGCCCCCUGGGCCAAUACUGACGCUCAUGCACGAAAGCGUGGGGGAGCAAACAGGAUUCAGAUACCCUGGUAGUCCACGCCCU